rnacentral:rRNA from 1 species
CCUACGGGAGGCAGCAGUGAGGAAUAUUGGUCAAUGGCCGGAAGGCUGAACCAGCCAUGCCGCGUGAAGGUCAGUGCACUAUGGGCGUUAAACUUCUUUUGUGCGGGAGCAAUAAUGGUCACGUGUGGCCAGACGAGAGUACCGUAAGAAUAGGCAUCGGCUAACUCCGUGCCAGCAGCCGCGGUAAUACGGGGGAUGCAAGCGUUAUCCGGAUUUAUUGGGUUGAAAGGGUGCGUAGGUGGUGAGGUAAGUGAGCGGUGAAAUGCCCCCGCUCAACGGGGUGAAGUGCUAUUGUUACUGCCUGGCUGGAAUGCGGAUGCCGUUGGAGGUAUGUGUGGUGUAGCGGUGAAAUGCAUAGAUAUCACACAGAACACCGAGUGCGAAGGCAUCUCACGAAUCCGCGAUUGACGCUGAUGCACGAAAGCGUGGGUAUCAAACAGGAUUAGAUACCCUAGUAGUC